AUAUAUAGAGAGAGAGAGAGAGAGAGAGAGAGAGAGAGAGAGAGAGAGAUGGAAAUAAAAAAAUUUACGUUCAGAAUAAUGUGGCCUCCUAGGGUUGGGUGAGUUAUUGGUUGAAUAGUUUAAUCUAACAAAUGAAAAUAGUCAAAGAGUUAAAUCUAAGGUCGAAAAACUCGAUAACAUCAAAUACUUGAUCCUAUCGAUGGUAUCCUAGUCGAACUCUCUAACUAUAAUACAGUAGUAAAUGUAUAUAAUCAAA
rnacentral:lncRNA from 1 species